rnacentral:rRNA from 1 species
AUUGAACGCUGGCGGCAGGCCUAACACAUGCAAGUCGAACGUGUGGCGGACGGGUGAAUAAUGUCGGGAAAACUGCCUGAUGGAGGGAUAAAUCCACUGGAAACGAUCUCUUACAGCGCAUACUCUCAGAUGCGCCGAGAUGGGAUUAGCUAGUAGGUGGGAUAAUGGCUCACCUAGGCGACGCUCCCUAGCUGGGCUGAGCGGAUGACCAGCCACACUGGAACGGAGACACGGUCCAGACUCCUACGGGAGGCAGCAGUGGGGAAUAUUGCACAAUGGGCGCAAGCCUGAUGCAGCCAUGCCGCGUGUAUGAAGAAGGCCUUCGGGUUGUAAAGUACUUUCAGCGGGGAGGCGUUACCCGCAGAAGAAGCACCGGCUAACUCCGUGCCAGCAGCCGCGGUAAUUC